GAUGCAGAUGCUCCGUUGGUGAACACGCUUGAGUCGUUGGAGGCUCGGGGGGUGGCUGCUCUCAGGGACCCUCGGUGUGUCCCCGGCCGGGUAUUGCCUCCCGUGUACUGCGUCGGGCCAUUUGUCGGUAGCAUCGCCGCCGCCGAGGCGAAAGAGCGUCACGAGUGCCUCGCUUGGCUAGACGGCCAACCGGACCGCAGCGUCGUGUUCCUCUGCUUCGGGAGCAUCGGCAUAGGAAACCACUCCGAGGAGCAGCUCAGGGAGAUCGCCGUGGGGCUUGAAAAGUCCGGCCACCGCUUCCUGUGGGUUGUGCGAGCCCCAGUCAGCGAUGACGACCCGGAGAAGCCGUUGGACCCCCGUGCCGACCCGGACUUCGACGCUCUACUGCCGGACGGGUUCAUGGAGCGCACCAAUGGCCGUGGCCUCGUCGUCAAGCUGUGGGCACCGCAGGCGGACGUUCUCCGCCACAAGGCCACCGGGGCGUUCGUGACGCACUGCGGAUGGAACUCAGUGCUGGAGGGCGUCACGGCGGGCGUGCCGAUGCUGUGCUGGCCGCUGUACGCGGAGCAGAAGAUGAACAAGCUGUUCAUGGUGGGGGACAUGGGGGUCGCCGUAGAGAUUGUCGGGUGGCAGCAGGGGCUGGUCAAGGCCGGCGAGGUGGAGGGCAAGGUAAGGCUUGUCAUGGAGUCUGAGGAGGGCAGAGAGCUCAGGGUGCGGGUCGAGGCGCACAAGGAAGACGCCGCGGCAGCUUGGAACGACGGCGGGUCGUCACGCGUGGCGUUUGCCCAGUUUUUGGCGGACGUGGCCAGCCAACAGGAUCGGACUUGCACCCGGAAGGAAUCCGUGGGACUCGGUGAUGCGUGA
rnacentral:rRNA from 1 species